rnacentral:rRNA from 1 species
GCACGUCCGAUGACAGUACCAGGCGAAUAAGCAUCGCGCUAACUCCGUGCCAGGGGCCGCGGUAAUACGGAGUGAUGCGGAGCGUUAUCCGGAUUCAUUGGGUUUAAAGGGUGCGUAGGCUGUGCGUCGGUCGGGGGUGAAAUUCCGGUGCUCAACACCGGGGCUGCCCUUGAUACUGUCACGCUGGAUUGCGGAUGCCGCCGGAAGAAUGAGUGGUGUAGCGGGGAAAUGCUUAGAUAUCACUCACAACACCGAUUGCUAAGGCAUCUGGCGAAUCCAUAACUGACGCUGAAGCACGAAAGCGUGCCCAUAGAACACGAUUAGAUACCCUGGUAUUCCACGCCGUAAACGAUGAUGGCUAACCGCCGGCGACACACUGUCUGUGGCCACCCGCAGGCGAUAAGCCAUCCACCUGGGGAGUACGUCGGAAAAUGAUGAAACUCAAAGGAAUUUGACGG